UACCCACUCCCGGCACGGGGAGGUAGUGACAAAAAAUAACGAUACGGGACUCAUCCGAGGCCCCGUAAUCGGAAUGAGAACACUCUAAAUCCUUUAACGAAAGUCAAUUGGAGGGAAAGUCUGGUGCCAGCAGCCGCGGUAAUACCAGCUCCAAUAGCGUAUAUUAAAGUUGUUGCGGUUAAAAAGCUCGUAGUUGGUUCUGCGUGCCACGCUGUCGGUUCACCGCCUGCCGGUGCAACUGGCAUGCCGUGGCAUGUCCUGUCGGUGGCGGAUAGGCCCCGUUGCGUGCCCUAUGCGGUAUACCAGCGUGUAGCGGUCGCGCAGCGGGUGUCCUUGUACGCCGUAUCAAUCCUACCGCGGUGCUCUUUACCGAGUGUCGAGGUAGGCCGGCACUGUUUACUUUGAACAAAUUAGAGUGCUUAAAGCAGGCUCUUAAUUCAGCCUGAAUAGUGGUGCAUGGAAUAAUGGAAAAGGACCUUGGUUCUAUUUUGUUGGUUUCCGGAAUCCAAGGUAAUGAUCAAUAAGGACAGGCGGGGGCAUUCGUAUUGCGACGUUAGACUUGGCAAAUGCUUUCGCGGUGAAAUUCUUGGAUCGUCGCAAGACGCACUAAAGCGAAAGCAUUUGCCAAGUAUGUCUUAAUUGAUCAAGAACGAAAGUUAGAGGCUCGAAGGCGAUCAGAUACCGCCCUAGUUCUAACCAUAAACGAUGUCAGCCAGCGAUCCGCCGAUGUUCCUCCGAUGACUCGGCGGGGAGCUUUCCCCGGGAAACCAAAGCUUUUGGGUUCCGGGGGAAGUAUGGUUGCAAAGCUGAAACUUAAAGGAAUUGACGGAAGGGCACCACCAGAAGUGGAGCAUGCGGCUUAAUUUGACUCAACACGGGACAUCUUACCAGGCCAGGACAUUGGAAGGAUUGACAGAUCGAUAGCUCUUUCUCGAUUCAUUGGGUAGUGGUGCAUGGCCGUUCGUAGUUGGUGGACUGAUUUGUCUGGUUAAUUCUGAUAACGAACGAGACUCUAACCUAUUAACUAGGCGUACACCGGUAUUUAAACGCUACCGGCGAGAUUGAUU
rnacentral:rRNA from 1 species